GUGAGGAAUUUUCCGCAAUGGGCGAAAGCCUGACGGAGCAAUGCCGCGUGAAGGAUGAAGGCCUAUGGGUUGUAAACUUCUUUUCUCAGAAAAGAAUUAUGACGGUAUCUGAGGAAUAAGCAUCGGCUAACUCUGUGCCAGCAGCCGCGGUAAGACAGAGGAUGCAAGCGUUAUCCGGAAUGAUUGGGCGUAAAGCGUCUGUAGGUUGUUUAAAAAGUAUUCUGUCAAAGAGUAGAGCUUAACCCUAGAUAGGAAGAAUAAACUUUUAAGCUAGAGUUUGGUAGAGGCAGAGGGAAUUCCCGGUGGAGCGGUGAAAUGCGUAGAUAUCGGGAGGAACACCAAAGGCGAAGGCACUCUGCUGGGCCAAUACUAACACUGAGAGACGAAAGCGAGGGGAGCAAAUGGGAUUAGAUACCCUAGUAGUCC
rnacentral:rRNA from 1 species